rnacentral:lncRNA from 1 species
GGCAAUUCCCUAACUUUUCUCCUUUUUCUCACAAGGCUAUAGUCAAUAUUCCAUUCCGGGGCACAGAUCCUCCCUCAAAUUCCGACUCUGGGCGCCUCGACGCAGAGACACUCCAACCGUUGCAAGGCCCUACUGCACCAGGACUUGGUCUGGGUCCAGAUCCCUUUGCUCAGCCUGGGUCCAUACUGUGGAAGGAGACUCAGAGUGCGGUCGGAGGAAUAGCCAGAGCAACCAAUGGGAUCAGGGAAGCAGGCUCAGGUGCUGCUGGGAUGGGUGGCCGCGUGUCUGGCGUCGGUCCACGUGGCGGGCGCUGAGACCGGGAAUGGACCGUACCAGACCAGCCGCUUCACCAGCACCGUGGACCAGAGAGAGGUGCAGCGGGUCCGACGCCGGGGCCAGGAGACGCUGAGAGGACCCAACGUGUGUGGCUCUCGCUUCCAUUCAUACUGCUGUCCAGGCUGGAAGACUCUGCCUGGAGGGAACCAGUGCAUCGUCCCCAUCUGCAGGAACACCUGCGGCGAUGGCUUCUGCUCCAGACCAAACAUGUGUACCUGCUCCAAUGGCCAGCUCUCUCCCAGCUGUGGAGCAGGAGCGGGAGCAGGAAUUCAGUCCUGCAACGUCAGGUGCAUGAACGGAGGCAGCUGCGCCGAGGACUCCUGCUUCUGCACGAAGGGCUACACAGGCAACCACUGUGGACAGCCCGUGUGUGAGAACGGCUGCCAGAACGGUGGGCGCUGCAUCGGGCCCAACAGAUGUGCCUGUGUCUACGGUUUCACUGGCCCGCAGUGCGAGAGAGGUGAGAGCUCAUCCUCGUCUUUGUGUUGACACAGUGUGUUACGCUCCACAGUUCUUCCUCGUGUAGAUGCGAUGUUAUUCGACACACUGGUUUUUGCUUCCCCCUAUGAAUAUGCGUUUUUCUAUGUAAUAUAAGAGAGACGGGCGCUGCAAACUGAAGGACUGCCCUGCUUACAGCAACCACUGCAGUAAUUGCAAAAAAGUGCCCUUAUAAGGCAUUUCCUGUAAAUGAAACACGUUCAUGGUGCCUGGAAGUUACAGUAACACGCUCUGGGUUUGCUCACACACAAGUGGAUUCCAGGCAGAUGGCUCGGAUGGGCGAUAGACCAUGUUUAUCACUGCUGCCGCCACACACACACACACACACACACUCACACACACACACACACACACACACACACACACACACACACACACACACACACACACACACACACACACACGCAAAGGGUGUGAAGGAAAACAUGAUAGAGGAAGGCUUUGAUGUGUCCGGUUGUUGCUCCAAGCCGUCCUGACGUACGUUCCCUCCUCCGGCGCUUGCUCUUACGUAGGCGCCCUGAUAAACGCAGCCCAGACGGGCGGUGGGCAUUUGUGUCUGGGGCGCUGGACAGAAGGCGGGGAGCGGUGCGGUUUGAACAAACCUGUGAAUUCUUGGCUGCACAUCGCUUUGGCUGUUCUUCAGUUCACCUUUUCAGACACGGAGACGACUGUUAAACCUUUGGAUAUACUUUCUUGGUCUUUAAUUUCAUCCACCUCAUCAUCAUCAUUAUCGUGAUCAUCUUCAUCGUCUUCAUCUCUUAUACUGUAGAGCAGUAAAAGCAUUAUCCUUCUCCCUGACACCUCCACAGGGCUGCGACAUAGACUUUCUUUGUGGAGUGGCUGUGGCGCAAGGCAGGGCCAAAAAAAGGGGGUGAGAAUGAAAAUGGACGCCCCAGCUGUGUACACAAGGCCUGGUGGAGCGAAGUACAAACACUCCUCAUGUUGGAGGAGAAUAGAGGACCUGCAGGAAGUCACGGAGGAAGAGCUGUACAUUUGAGUUGUAACUGCACAUUAGAGCUGCAAUAAAUAAUCAACGUCCUAAAAUUUAUGUAUCCA